rnacentral:rRNA from 1 species
GACGAACGCUGGCGGCAUGCCUAACACAUGCAAGUCGAACGGACGAUGCCCUUCGGGGCAAAGUUAGUGGCGGACUGGUGAGUAACGCGUGAGCAACCUGCCUUUGAGAGGGGGACAACAGCUGGAAACGGCUGCUAAUACCGCAUGAUGCAGCGAGAUCGCAUGAUCUUGCUGCCAAAGAUUUAUCGCUCAAAGAUGGGCUCGCGUCCGAUUAGAUAGUUGGUGAGGUAACGGCUCACCAAGUCAACGAUCGGUAGCCGGACUGAGAGGUCGACCGGCCACAUUGGGACUGAGAUACGGCCCAG